ACUCCAGGCCCAAGGACCUCCUUCAGUUUGCCUUUUCCCUCCAAAAAACGCUAUGAGUUCAAGGUCAGGGCUCGUAUAGGGUUAUUAUGUGGAGAGUCCAAGUUUUGGAGUGACUGGAGUGAGCCUGUCUACUGGGGAUCUUAAAAGACCUACGACACCUCAGAAAACAUCUUAAGGAAUAACAGCACUUUAGGCACGCUGCAGUAAAUCCCAUCAGACUGCUCAACAGUGCCUACUGUGGCUUCAACACCUGUCUUCUGCACACACACAAAAAAAUUAUUCUCAUAUUAGGCUUUUGUUUAACUGCAUAAAACAAAUUCCAUAUUUGCAUUUGUAUCUGUGAAAUGUAAUAACACAGCUUACAUAACCCCUAUCACAACUUAUUUCUGUAUAUCAGUCUUAAUACAACUCUUGUUUAAAUUCA